ACGCUGGCGGCAUGCCUAACACAUGCAAGUCGAACGAGACCUUCGGGUCUAGUGGCGCACGGGUGCGUAACACGUGGGAAUUUGCCUCGGGGUAUGGAAUAACUCAGGGAAACUUGAGCUAAUACCAUAUAAUGUCUUCGGACCAAAGAUUUAUCGCCCUGAGAUAAGCCCGCGUAGGAUUAGCUAGUUGGUGGGGUAAAGGCUCACCAAGGCGACGAUCCUUAGCUGGUCUGAGAGGAUGAUCAGCCACACUGGAACUGAGACACGGUCCAGACUCCUACGGGAGGCAGCAGUGGGGAAUUUUCCGCAAUGGGCGAAAGCCUGACGGAGCAAUACCGCGUGAGGGAAGAAUGCCUAUGGGUUGUAAACCUCUUUUUCAGGGAGGAAUAAAAUGACGUGUACCUGAAGAAUAAGCAUCGGCUAACUCCGUG
rnacentral:rRNA from 1 species